GAUGAAGAACGUAGCGAAAUGCGAUAAGUAAUGUGAAUUGCAGAAUCCAGUGAAUCAUCGAAUCUUUGAACGCACAUUGCGCCCGCCAGCAUUCUGGGGGGCAUGCCUGUUCGAGCGUCAUUUCAACCCUCGACCUCCCUUUGGGGAAGUCGGCGUUGGGGACCGGCAGCACACCGCCGGCCCUGAAAUGGAGUGGCGGCCCGUCCGCGGCGACCUCUGCGUAGUAAACCAACUCGCACCGGAACCCCGACGUGGCCACGCCGUAAAACACCCAACUUCUGAACGUUGACCUCGAAUCAGGUAGGACUACCCGCUGAACUUAAGCAUAUCAAUAAGCGGAGGA
rnacentral:misc_RNA from 1 species